AUGGACCUUUAAGUUUGGUUUGCAAACUUGCAUUAAAGACAAGAAACCACAGAGGAAGAGUAUACCCCUGUUUUUACUGCUAGUACCUGUAAAUACUGCAGUUUUCCCAUUCAGAGCUGAAUUGGACUCAGGCAAAGGUUGAACAGGUUUGGAGCAACAAGAGGACUGAAGCAUUUGAAGUUUAUAGUGUUGUGGACGCAGGUGUUGCACCUAUAUUGCUUUCUCAAUUGAGGUUGAUACAGGAAUGAAUGUCCAUCACUCACUCUCCACAGAUUUAUUAUGGCAGAAAGUACAACGGCAGCAUUUUCCACAGAGGAGGAUAGAGCGCAUUAUUGAUGAUGUCUACUACAGAAAGGGUCAUUGAAAUGUCACGUUCAUGAAUGAUGUACCAUCAACAUCCGUAUCCAUAAGAAGGGACCAACAGUUGCAUGAUAAAAGUAAGGAGAAAUAGCCCUGUCCAGUGGACUCUAAAGGAUGGACGGUAACAUUCCUGUUUAUAGGCCCAUUUCUGAUGGCUCACACAUUGAUAGCAUCACCUGCAGUAUGUGAUUUGUCAGUGAUAUUGUGGUUUUUAUUUUAUGACGUGCUCUAAAAACUGACAGGAAACUGCUCUCACAGAAAUGCUGACUUAGAAUGCACAUUAUUUGAGAAUCAAUGACAUGCUGGAGGGAGCUGUGGCAUAGUGAUCAAUAUGCUUUGGUGCUCAAAUAGACAAUUAAGGUUCAGAUUUGUUUUGCAACAUUUUAUUUCUCCUUCUUUCCUUUUCCUUUGUAGUAUAAAAUGGCUCAAAAGUAUUUGAACACUUAAUCCACACUUAAGUUUUUUAUUGUAUUUGAUGGAAAUGUAUUAAACUAAGUUGCAUGGCAUGAGCUGAAGGCUGAUUGUCUGAUUAUGGCACCAGAAGAACACGUUUCCAAAGCCCUUCACUAGUGAAAAUCCUCAGAUGUGAAAGGCAGCAGACAGGGGGGAAA